rnacentral:rRNA from 1 species
UGGCGAACGGGUGAGUAACACGUGGGUGAUCUGCCCUGCACUCUGGGAUAAGCCUGGGAAACUGGGUCUAAUACCGGAUAGAACCAUGCUUUAGUGUGUGUGGUUGAAAGUUUUUUCGGUGUAGGAUGAGCCCGCGGCCUAUCAGCUUGUUGGUGGGGUAAUGGCCUACCAAGGCGGCGACGGGUAGCCGGACUGAGAGGUUGGUCGGCCACAUUGGGACUGAGAUACGGCCCAG